UACGUAGGUGGCGAGCGUUGUCCGGAAUUACUGGGCGUAAAGGGUGCGUAGGCGGCUCCUUAAGGGAGGUGUGAAAUCCCUGGGCUCAACCCAGGAACUGCACUUCAAACUGGGGAGCUAGAGUGCAGGAGAGGAAAGCGGAAUUCCCGGUGUAGCGGUGAAAUGCGUAGAGAUCGGGAGGAACACCAGUGGCGAAGGCGGCUUUCUGGACUGUAACUGACGGUGAGGCACGAAAGCGUGGGGAGCAAACAGG
rnacentral:rRNA from 1 species